UGUAAAGACACAGCAGGAAAGGACGGGACGAACAGGUCCUCUGUGUCUUUCAGCCAGUCAGAAGGUGGAUGCAGCAAAAAGUCUACAGCAAAUCCAGACGUUACCCUGUAAAGUGUUUAGCAACGUUUCCACUCGACGUGGCAUCUCCGAGGUCUUCAGCUGCUGGAGAGCUGCCAUGGCAACCAGGUCAGCCAAGAGGAGGAGCAAAAGAACACAGCCGCUGAUCAAAGCUGUGCCGUCACUAUGACAACCAAAAAGCAAGACCAAGAAACAAGCUUGCCUGCCAGUGACCAUUUUGCUUCGGGCUUUGUUGAUGUUCCUGCAGAACAGUGGUGAGUUGAGAAUGGAGCUGAGAGAGAGCUGCGACAGAUGAUAAGCCCAACGGACUCUAAA